AUGCCUGAGUCCCCCAAGCUGCCUCUCAUCUGUGAAUCACCUUUCAUUUGUUUCUACCCAUGCAGCUGCUAUUUUUUAUUUAGUCUAAUUUUAGCAUCUCUACCAGCAGCUGCAAAUGUAAAUGGUCCCCUUUGGUAUCCAGCACGCCCAAUUAGAGAAGUGGCCCACAUGAGAAUUGGGAAACCAAGGACUUUGUCCCUGAGCUGCCACAUUGGACGAGGAAACUGAAGCUCACUGGGAGCACGGAAACAAGGCAGAAAAACAGACUUCUGGCAGUGAUGGUGUGUUUACUUCUUAGGAAAGGAAAUGAACCAUCUAGGAGGAAAAAGGGAUGAUUAUAGAAAAAUUCAGGUAGCCUGAAUUGAAUUAUAAUAUUGAUAAAUAAAAUUUCUUAAUAAUUUAAUAAUAAAUAUUAA
rnacentral:lncRNA from 1 species